UACAGAGGGUGCGAGCGUUAAUCGGAAUUACUGGGCGUAAAGCGUGCGCAGACGGUCACGUAAGUCGGGUGUGAAAGCCCCGGGCUCAACCCGGGAAUUGCAUUCGAGACUGCGUGGCUAGGGUGCGGAAGAGGGAAGCGGAAUUUCCGGUGUAGCGGUGAAAUGCGUAGAUAUCGGAAGGAACACCAGUGGCGAAAGCGGCUUCCUGGUCCAGCACCGACGUUCAGGCACGAAAGCGUGGGGAGCAAACAGG
rnacentral:rRNA from 1 species